GACCUCAAGUCAUGUGAGAGUACCCGCUGAACUUAAGCAUAUCAAUAAGCGGAGGAAAAGAAACUAACAAGGAUUCCCCUAGUAACGGCGAGUGAAGCGGGAAGAGCACAAAUUUAAAAUCUACCUGGUUUCCAGGUCGAGUUGUAAUUUGAAGAAACGUUUUUGACGUUCCGGGUUGGGAUAAAUCCUUUGGGAUGAGGUAUCAUGGAGGGUGAGAAUCCCGUGUAUACCAACCGCAGGGAUGUUAUUUAAUACGUUUUCUAAGAGUCGAGUUGUUUGGGAAUGCAGCUCUAAAUGGGUGGUAAAUUUCACCUAAUGCUAAAUAUAAGCGAGAGACCGAUAGCGAACAAGUACCGUGAGGGAAAGAUGAAAAGAACUUUGAAAAGAGAGUUAAAUAGUACGUGAAAUUGUUGAAAGGGAAACGAUUGAAGUCAGUCAUGCCGGCGGGAAUCAACUUAGGGGAAACUUUAAGUGCACUUCACGUUUGGCAGGUCAGCGUCGAUUUUGGAUAUCAUAAAAUGAUUGGGGGAAGGUAGCUCCUUCGGGAGUGUUAUAGCCCUUGAUAGAUGUGAUGUCUGGGAUCGAGGAUUGCAACGGAUAUCCUUUGGGCUAGCCGCCUGAUCUCUAACUGGUGUUAGGUUACGGACAGCAUGCUGACCGUGAUUUAAUUACUGGUUAAAAGGUUAGAGCGAGUGUAAAUUCGUUAAGGACGCUGACGUAAUGGCUUUAAACGACCCGUCUUGAAACACGGACCAAGGAGUCUAACAUGUAUGCGAGUGUU
rnacentral:rRNA from 1 species